rnacentral:tRNA from 1 species
GGUCACAUAAGCCUAAAUGGCAAGGCAGCGGUUUACUAAACCGAGAGUAAUCGCAUUUGCAGUGUCCGAGUUCAAGUCUCGGUGUGACCGCUA